GCUAACACAUGCAAGUCGAGCGGCAGCGGGAGGUGCUUGCACCUCGCCGGCGAGCGGCGGACGGGUGAGUAAUGCAUAGGAAUCUGCCCGGUAGUGGGGGAUAACCUGGGGAAACCCAGGCUAAUACCGCAUACGUCCUACGGGAGAAAGCAGGGGAUCUUCGGACCUUGCGCUAUCGGAUGAGCCUAUGCCGGAUUAGCUAGUUGGUAGGGUAAUGGCCUACCAAGGCAACGAUCCGUAGCUGGUCUGAGAGGAUGAUCAGCCACACUGGGACUGAGACACGGCCCAGACUCCUACGGGAGGCAGCAGUGGGGAAUAUUGGACAAUGGGCGAAAGCCUGAUCCAGCCAUGCCGCGUGUGUGAAGAAGGCUUUCGGGUUGUAAAGCACUUUCAGUGGGGAAGAAAGCCUGUCGGUUAAUACCCGACAGGAACGACAUCACCCACAGAAGAAGCACCGGCUAACUCCGUGCCAGCAGCCGCGGUAAUACGGAGGGUGCGAGCGUUAAUCGGAAUUACUGGGCGUAAAGCGCGCGUAGGCGGCGUGAUAAGCCGGUUGUGAAAGCCCCGGGCUCAACCUGGGAACGGCAUCCGGAACUGUCGCGCUAGAGUGCAGGAGAGGAAGGUAGAAUUCCCGGUGUAGCGGUGAAAUGCGUAGAGAUCGGGAGGAAUACCAGUGGCGAAGGCGGCCUUCUGGACUGACACUGACGCUGAGGUGCGAAAGCGUGGGUAGCAAACAGGAUUAGAUACCCUGGUAGUCCACGCCGUAAACGAUGUCGACUAGCCGUUGGGAGCCUUGAGUUCUUAGUGGCGCAGUUAACGCGAUAAGUCGACCGCCUGGGGAGUACGGCCGCAAGGUUAAAACUCAAAUGAAUUGACGGGGGCCCGCACAAGCGGUGGAGCAUGUGGUUUAAUUCGAUGCAACGCGAAGAACCUUACCUACCCUUGACAUCCUCGGAAUCCGCCAGAAAUGGUGGAAUGCCUUCGGGAGCCAAGUGACAAGUGCUGCAUGGCUGUCGUCAGCUCC
rnacentral:rRNA from 1 species